GAGAAGCUUGCUUCUCUGAUGUUAGCGGCGGACGGGAGAGACGCGUGGGUAACCUACCUAUAAGACUGGGAUAACACCGGGAAACCGGGGCUAAUACCGGAUAAUAUUUUGAACCGCAUGGUUCAAUAGUGAAAGACGGUUUCGGCUGUCACUUAUAGAUGGACCCGCGCCGUAUUAGCUAGUUGGUAAGGUAACGGCUUACCAAGGCGACGAUACGUAGCCGACCUGAGAGGGUGAUCGGCCACACUGGAACUGAGACACGGUCCAGACUCCUACGGGAGGCAGCAGUAGGGAAUCUUCCGCAAUGGGCGAAAGCCUGACGGAGCAACGCCGCGUGAGUGAUGAAGGUCUUCGGAUCGUAAAACUCUGUUGUUAGGGAAGAACAAAUUUGUUAGUAACUGUUUUUUUUCUUGACGGUACCUAACCAGAAAGCCACGGCUAACUACGUGCCAGCAGCCGCGGUAAUACGUAGGUGGCAAGCGUUAUCCGGAAUUAUUGGGCGUAAAGCGCGCGUAGGCGGUUUCUUAAGUCUGAUGUGAAAGCCCACGGCUCAACCGUGGAGGGUCAUUGGAAACUGGGAAACUUGAGUGCAGAAGAGGAGAGUGGAAUUCCAUGUGUAGCGGUGAAAUGCGCAGAGAUAUGGAGGAACACCAGUGGCGAAAGGCGGCUCUCUGGUCUGUAACUGACGCUGAUGUGCGAAAGCGUGGGGAUCAAACAGGAUUAG
rnacentral:rRNA from 2 species